rnacentral:rRNA from 1 species
GAUGAACGCUGGCGGCGUGCCUAAUACAUGCAAGUCGAGCGAACGGACGAGAAGCUUGCUUCUCUGAUGUUAGCGGCGGACGGGUGAGUAACACGUGGAUAACCUACCUAUAAGACUGGGAUAACUUCGGGAAACCGGAGCUAAUACCGGAUAAUAUUUUGAACCGCAUGGUUCAAAAGUGAAAGACGGUCUUGCUGUCACUUAUAGAUGGAUCCGCGCUGCAUUAGCUAGUUGGUAAGGUAACGGCUUACCAAGGCAACGAUGCAUAGCCGACCUGAGAGGGGGAUCGGCGACACUGGAACUGAGACACGGUCCAGACUCCUACGGGAGGCAGCAGUAGGGAAUCUUCCGCAAUGGGCGAAAGCCUGACGGAGCAACGCCGCGUGAGUGAUGAAGGUCUUCGGAUCGUAAAACUCUGUUAUUAGGGAAGAACAGAUGUGUAAGUAACUGUGCACAUCUUGACGGUACCUAAUCAGAAAGCCACGGCUAACUACGUG